AACGUAGGACGCAAGCGUUAUCCGGAGUUACUGGGCGUAAAGCGCGGGCAGGCGGUCUUGCCAGUCUGAUGUGAAAUCUCUCAGCUCAACUGGGAGCAGCCAUUGGAAACUACAAGACUGGAGUCUGGCAGAGGUAGGCGGAAUUCCGGGUGGAGUGGUGAAAUGCGUAGAUAUCUGGAGGAACACCGGUGGCGAAGGCGGCGUCCUGGACCAAUACUGACACUGAGGAGCGAAAGCCAGGGGAGCAAACGGG
rnacentral:rRNA from 1 species